rnacentral:tRNA from 2 species
AAAACAAUACUUUAAGUAAAAGAGUCGAUUUGCAUUUGAUUAUUGGGCAGUUGCUCUUGUUU